rnacentral:rRNA from 1 species
GAUGAACGCUGGCGGCGUGCCUAAUACAUGCAAGUCGAGCGAACGGACGUGGAGCUUGCUUCUCGGAUGUUAGCGGCGGACGGGUGAGUAACACGUGGAUAACCAAACUAUAAGAAUGGGAUAUCGACGUGGGAACGGCGCCAGGAACGGGGGAUAAUUAGAACAUCACGGUUACAGAGUGCAAGACCGUCUUGCUGACGCAAUUCGAUCGAUCCGCGAUGCAUGAGCUAGUUGGUAAUGUAAGGGCUUACCAAGGCAACAGUGCAUAGCCGCCACGAGGGGGUCGUCCGGCACACUGGAAGUGAGACACGGCCCAGACUCCGGCGGGGGGCAGCAGUAGGGAAUCUUCCGGAAUGGGCCAGAGCCUGACGGUGCAACGCCGCGUGAGUGAUGAAGGUCCUCGGAUGGGAAAGCUCUGAUAUUAGGGAAGAACAUAUGUGUAAGUAACUGGGCACAUCUUGACGGUACCUAAUCAGAAAGCCCCGGCUAACUACGUG